rnacentral:tmRNA from 1 species
GGGGGCGAUCUGGAAUCGACCGGAUAAAUGAAGAUCUUGGUGGCAUGUCGUGGUUGAUCGGUUGGCCACGUAAAAAGCCGGUUAAAAAAAGUAACUGCAGAGGAAAACCUCGCACUAGCAGCCUAGUUUAGGCAGCUCAGGUACCCAGGACCCGCCGGAGGCGCUGGAAUACCUGUCGCAAUUCCGGACCGCAUUAUCCCGUGUCUCGCACGGAUGAUGUUAAAAAAGCUCGAGGCUGGCGCACCGCACCGAGGUCAACAACGAACGUGGUGGGCGAGACAAAGACUAGUUGGCUAAACAUGUAGAGGCCGGAUUGGAAGUAUCGCGGGACGGGGGUUCAAUUCCCCCCGCCUCCAUUA